rnacentral:lncRNA from 1 species
ACUGCUUAUCGAAAACGACAACUUUUCUUGAAACCAAUGACUGAACCUUUCUUAUCGAAAACAAGUUUAUUCUUGUUGUCACACCUCCUUUUGGACAUCCACAACCCCGCGAAGGGCAUGGAUAAGGUAGUUUUUCCAACUAAAGGAAAAUCGAAACGGAAUUUAUUUUAUUUAAGAGAUUUCAGAGUCGCCACUUGGGAUAAUUAAUGGUGUUCCAAGUCACCGGUUUAAAUCCCGAAUCCAGG